ACAAUUUUCAGCGACGGAUAUCUUGGCUAGCACCUAUGAAGGGCGCAGCGAAGUGCGAUAAUCGUUGUGAAUUGCACUCCGUGAACCAAGGCCUCUUGAACGUGCAUUGCGCUCUUGGGAUGCCUGAGAGCAUGUCUGCUUCAGUG
rnacentral:rRNA from 1 species